rnacentral:lncRNA from 1 species
GAUACGCUCUACCCGCAGGCGUGAUCGUGUGAUCGGUCGUGCACGGCUACGUGAUCCACAGAUUCCUUUCGCCACACGCCCGUUCACACCCCGCCACCACACGUGGCUCCAUCACUGCAGUGCCCCGACAAACCACUCCAAUAGUCCACCACGUCCCAGGGCUUGUUUAGUCUUUUUUCCAACUUUGACACUAUAAAAAAGAGAUUCUUCAUCAAACUUGCGGUACAUGUAUGGAGUACUAAAUGUAGAUAAAAUCAAAAACUAAUUGCACAAUUUUGUUGUACUUCACGAUACGAAUCUUUUGAGCCUAAUUAGUCAAUGUUUGGACAAUAAUUCACAAAUACAUUCCCAAUUUUAGCACUAUGCAAAAAGAAGAUUCUCCAUUACAUCAAACUUACGGUACAUGCAUGGAGUACUAAAUGUAGAUGAAAUCAAAAACUAAUUGCACAGUUUUGUUGUACUUUGCGAGACGAAUCUUUUGAGCCUAAUUAGUCAAUAUUUGGAUAAUAAUUCACAAAUACAAAUGAAAUACUACAGUUGCGUAUUUAUGGCAAAAUGCAAACUUUGCCACUACCAAUUUGGGAACUAAAGACCCCCAAGCAGAUAAUUGUUUCCCCACGUGGGCCCCACCACCAACCUACAAAUACGGGCACACACCACGUCACUUUACUCACAGCUCAGCUCGCGGCUCGCGCGCACCAUCAGUCGUG